rnacentral:lncRNA from 1 species
CUCUCUCUCUCCCUCUCCCCUCACUGCUCCUCUCCUCCCUUCCUGCCUUCUCUCUCUCUCCUUCAGCAUCCCCCCCACCCUCUUUCUUCCUCUUCCCUUCCCGCUCUCUCCUCCCUCUCUCCCCCUCCCGCUCUCUCCUCCCUCUCCCUCCAAGUCUGGCACUGAAGGAACUGUUUUGCUUUGCUCCGGGAAGAGUGCAGACACAUAUCGUGAAAUCCCGAGCUUUUUGCGUGGUGCAUUUAAAAUGCUUCCUUAUUUAUAUUACCCUCAUUCCCUCACCUCUCCCACCCCCUCAGCAGUCCUUCCAAAUUUCCCUAGAAAUCUGUGUAAAGCAUGCGGAGGGGAAAACAUUUGCACAAAAAGUGAAGGAGCUCGCCAAGGAGUUCCCGUCUAGGUGGUCAACUUGUCCUGUACCCAGAGGUCGCGGAAGGGGUGGCCAUCCCCAGAGGUCACAGAAGCUGAAGAGCCUGGACCAAUGA